rnacentral:rRNA from 1 species
UGCGUAGGCGGCGUAUUAAGUCAGUGGUGAAAUCCCUCGGCUCAACCGAGGAACUGCCAUUGAUACUGGUAUGCUAGAGUAUAGUUGGCGUAGGCGGAAUGUAUCAUGUAGCGGUGAAAUGCUUAGAUAUGAUACAGAACACCGAUCGCGAAGGCAGCUUACGAAACUAUAACUGACGCUCAGGAACGAACGCGUGGGGAGCGAACAGGAUUAGAUACCCUGGUAGUCC